rnacentral:rRNA from 1 species
GACGAACGCUGGCGGCGUGCUUAACACAUGCAAGUCGAGCGGAAAGGCUCCUUCGGGGGUACUCGAGCGGCGAACGGGUGAGUAACACGUGAGUAAUCUGCCCUUGGCUUUGGGAUAACUACCGGAAACGGUGGCUAAUACCGGAUACGACCACUCCUUGCAUGAGGUGGUGGUGGAAAGUUUUUUCGGCCAGGGAUGUGCUCGCGGCCUAUCAGCUUGUUGGUGGGGUAAUGGCCUACCAAGGCUUCGACGGGUAGCCGGCCUGAGAGGGUGACCGGCCACACUGGGACUGAGACACGGCCCAGACUCCUACGGGAGGCAGCAGUGGGGAAUAUUGGACAAUGGGCGGAAGCCUGAUCCAGCAACGCCGCGUGAGGG